CUUUUCUAGCACCAGGAGUAGCUGUGGGAUCCUGCAUGCUGAGAUCUCCUCCUUCUCUCUGUUUUCUCUAAAUCAAGGCUACAGUAGAACUUUGGGGCAUCAAAGAAAGUAAUUGCAGGGCAAUAAAGUGAGAGAUGGAGUCUCGCUCUGUCACCCAAGCUGGAGCGCAGUAGUGCGAUCUCUGCUGACUACAACCUCUGCCUUCUGGGUACAGCGAUUCUCCUGCCUCAGCCUUCCCGGUAGCUGGGAUUACAGGCACCCACCACCACGCCCGGCUAAUUUUUGUAUUUUUAGUAGAGACACGGUUUCACCAUGUUGGCCAAGGCUGGCCUCGAACUUCUGACCGUAGGUGAUCUACCCGCCUCGGCCUCCCAAAGGGCUGGGAUUACAGGCGUGAGCCACCGUGCCCGGCCCUACAUCUUACAAUAGAAAAAAUAAUAAUAAAAUAUUCUUGUGAAUUCUAAAGCACAUCAGUGAUGGUAAAUUUCAAAUCUUUGUGUAUUCACUAUUUAACACAUGAACUAUUUUAUCAGAAUUAUAUUUAUGUAAUAUGUGUGUAUUACAGCAUAAUAUGAGCUACAAUUAUAUUCCAUAAAUGACUCUCUAAAACAAAAACAUUGGUCUCAGCAUAAAUAAAGAAACAAUUUGAUUCAGCACACUAUUAAGUGUUACUGAGGACAUCUUGUGUACUGUCAAGGAACAAUUUAUGGGAAAAAAUAAAAUAUGAAUUGAUGCCUCAUACACACCAGAAUUUAAACACUCUUCAAAGAGGAGAAAGCAUGCCCAGGGAAUACAAUUUGGAAAAGUGGAGGCACAGAGGUAGGAAAAAGCAAGACGGCAGAACAGAUGGAUAGAAAGGAGCCAUUGAAGGCAUUUUAAACAGUGUUAGAUACUUUACCAUCUCCAUACUUCAAUAUUAGAAGGAAAUCACCAUUCCCAUCCCUCCUGGAGUCAAUUUCUUCAGGAUUACAAUAAGAGUUCUGCAGAGUAUAAAGCAGUAGCUGCCUCGAAUGGAAUGGCUGGGGACAAAUGGAAUGGCUGUGUGUGUUAAGAGACAGCAAAUUUGAGAGAACAUAGGAAUAGAGGAGCUAUUUGCUACCUACUUUAUCUUGGACCCAGCUACCUUGAA
rnacentral:lncRNA from 1 species